rnacentral:rRNA from 1 species
GAGCGGCGAACGGGUGAGUAACACGUGAGUAACCUGCCCCCGACUCUGGGAUAAGCCCGGGAAACUGGGUCUAAUACCGGAUACGACACCUCCCCGCAUGGGGUGGGUGUGGAAAGUUUUUCGGUUGGGGAUGGACUCGCGGCCUAUCAGCUUGUUGGUGGGGUAAUGGCCUACCAAGGCGACGACGGGUAGCCGGCCUGAGAGGGCGACCGGCCACACUGGGACUGAGACACGGCCCAGACUCCUACGGGAGGCAGCAGUGGGGAAUAUUGCGCAAUGGGCGAAAGCCUGACGCAGCGACGCCGCGUGGGGGAUGACGGCCUUCGGGUUGUAAACCUCUUUCAGCAGGGACGAAGUUGACGUGUACCUGCAGAAGAAGCGCCGGCUAACUACGUGCCAGCAGCCGCGGUAAUACGUAGGGCGCAAGCGUUGUCCGGAAUUAUUGGGCGUAAAGAGCUCGUAGGUGGCUUGUCACGUCGGGUGUGAAAGCUUGGGGCUUAACUCCAGGUCUGCAUUCGAUACGGGCUGGCUAGAGGUAGGUAGGGNAGAACGGAUUCCU